rnacentral:rRNA from 1 species
AUUGAACGCUGGCGGCAGGCCUAACACAUGCAAGUCGAGCGGGGGUAGCAAUACCCUAGCGGCGAACGGGUGAGGAAUGCUUGGGAAUCUGCCUCGUAGUGGGGGAUAACGUUCCGAAAGGAACGCUAAUACCGCAUACGUCCUACGGGAGAAAGGGGGGGAUCUUCGGACCUCUCGCUAUGAGAUGAGCCCAAGCGGGAUUAGCUAGUUGGUGAGGUAAAGGCUCACCAAGGCGACGAUCCCUAGCUGGUCUGAGAGGAUGAUCAGCCACACUGGAACUGAGACACGGUCCAGACUCCUACGGGAGGCAGCAGUGGGGAAUAUUGGACAAUGGGCGCAAGCCUGAUCCAGCCAUGCCGCGUGUGUGAGGAAGGCCUUCGGGUUGUAAAGCACUUUAAGCGAGGAGGAAGGUUCGUUACUUAAUACGUAACGGAAUUGACGUUACUCGCAGAAUAAGCACCGGCUAACUCUGUGCCAGCCGCCGCCGUAAGAC